GCGGCGUGCUUAACACAUGCAAGUCGAACGGUGACGGAGGAGCUUGCUCCCCCUGAUCAGUGGCGAACGGGUGAGUAACACGUGAGUAACCUGCCCCAGACUCUGGGAUAACAUCGGGAAAUCGGUGCUAAUACCGGAUAUGAGACGAGACUGCAUGGUCAUCGUCUGGAAAGAUUUAUCGGUCUGGGAUGGACUCGCGGCCUAUCAGCUAGUUGGUGAGGUAAUGGCUCACCAAGGCGACGACGGGUAGCCGGCCUGAGAGGGCGACCGGCCACACUGGAACUGAGAUACGGUCCAGACUCCUACGGGAGGCAGCAGUGGGGAAUAUUGCACAAUGGGCGCAAGCCUGAUGCAGCAACGCCGCGUGGGGGAUGAAGGCCUUCGGGUUGUAAACCCCUUUUAGCAGGGAAGAAGCGAAAGUGACGGUACCUGCAGAAAAAGCGCCGGCUAACUACGUGCCAGCAGCCGCGGUAAUACGUAGGGCGCAAGCGUUGUCCGGAAUUAUUGGGCGUAAAGAGCUCGUAGGCGGUUUGUCGCGUCUGCUGUGAAAGUCCGAGGCUCAACCUCGGAUCUGCAGUGGGUACGGGCAGACUAGAGUAUGGUAGGGGAGACUGGAAUUCCUGGUGUAGCGGUGGAAUGCGCAGAUAUCAGGAGGAACACCAAUGGCGAAGGCAGGUCUCUGGGCCAUAACUGACGCUGAGGAGCGAAAGCGUGGGGAGCGAACAGGAUUAGAUACCCUGGUAGUCCACGCCGUAAACGGUGGGCACUAGAUGUGGGGCUCUUUCCAUGAGUUCCGCGUCGCAGCUAACGCAUUAAGUGCCCCGCCUGGGGAGUACGGCCGCAAGGCUAAAACUCAAAGGAAUUGACGGGGGCCCGCACAAGCGGCGGAGCAUGCG
rnacentral:rRNA from 1 species